rnacentral:lncRNA from 1 species
CCCAAGAGACUUACCUUUAGUAGACUAGGCAAGAGUCCACUAUUUUCAUCAUUAUUGGGCCUCCAGGGGUUUGGGUCCUAACUUCUUUCUUCUCUCCAAAAAUAAGUGUGCUUCAUGGGGUUCAAACUUGAGACCACCAACAAACACACCAAGGCCCUUACCAUUACACACAAGCCUUUCUUUUUUUUAUUUUCUUCUUUCU